GUUUGUACAUGACAAAUUGUUCAAUAAAAAUAAUUUAAAAAAAACUUCAUGGAAGUACCGCCCACAUUUCGCGCAAAGCAUCAUGGGUCGUACGAAUAAGGUGCAUAGGCAAUACACGGGCAUCGGAGAGAGCGCUGGAAAUAACACAGAAACAACAGUCACAUUUUAUAACAAUUCUUUUAAAAUGGUAUCUUUGGCAUUGAAUUAGUGGUCACUGGAUCAGACCGGUCUGGUGCCACUCUAUCAACUAGAUCAUCACUGCUUGGAUUUAACUCAACAGCUCUGAAUACCUCUGGAUGUAUCUUUCUCAAAUUACGUUUAUUUCGUCAAAAGAUCUGACCAUUUGGUGACUGUACAUUAUACGACCGUGGUUCCUCUCUCUUACGUAGUACUGUUGCUGGUUUCCAUCCCUCUCGAGUUUGCAUAUGUACAGUCUCACCUGCUACUAGCCCUGGCAAACUUCUAGAUCUGACAUCAUAGUACUUCUUCUGACGAGCUUGUAGAUCGACCAGUCUACUGUGCUUCUGCACAAGAGAUCUUUGUCACAACAUCUUGGUGGAACAUGGUAUAGUACUGUGAAGAAUUUGUCCCAUCAACAUUUGUGCUGAAGAUAUACUCGAUCCUGUGACUGGUAUUUCGCAAUGAUAACAAAGCUAGAUGUAUAUCCUCACCUGAACACCUGAACCUUUUUCAGAACACGUUUCACAGUUUGCACUGUUCGCUCAGCAAGUCCAUUUGAUUGUGGAUAUCCUGGACUGGAAAACAAAAGCCUUAUUUGCUGAUAUGUGGGAUAAUGUUCUCAUUUCUUGACUUGCAAAUGUUACAUGGUCACUCACAAUUUCUUUUGGUAUGCCAUAUCUUGCAAAUGUUGCUUUCAUAAAUUGUAUGUCUGAAUGGGCAGAUUUGUCUCUCAAAUUAAGCACUUCUAUAUAUUUUGUCAUAUAGUCAACUAACACCAGGAAAGACUGACCUUGCAAUUCAAAGAUGUCUGCUCCAAGCUUCAACCAGGGAACAUCUGGGAUGUCAUGUGACUGAAGAGGUUCUCUUUGAUUUUGAGGUUGGAACUUUUGACAUAUGCCACAUAUGCUUACCGUGCUCUCAAUAUCUUUUGACAUGCCAGGCCAAAACACAACUUGCCUUGCUCGUGCAGUUUGUUGUAUACCUUGAUGUCCAAUAUGUAACCUCUGUAACAAAGCGGACUUUAAUUUCUCUGGAAUGAGGAUUCUAUCUCCCAUCAUUAGCACAUCAUUCUGCAUAGUAAUGUUGUGUCGCACUGACCAGAAUUUGUGCAAUUUCUCCUUCAGCCUGCUGCAUUGCUUACCCCAGUCAUUUUUAUGAGCUUCUUUUAUGGCUUGCAGGAUGUCAUCUGUUUGACUCGUUUCUUUUAGUUGUUUCAACAUUUCUGAACUUAAAGAAUCAGUAGCUUCUAGCAAAUACACUACUUUCUCCUGAAACAGGUCUUCAUUGUCCUCAUUAGCAUCUUGUUUUCUCACUGCUGCCCAUGACAAUGUGUCUGCAAUCCACAUACAGUUACCUGGUGUGUAUUGAAUCCUCAGAUCAUAUCCUCGUAAAUGAAGCAUUUGCUGCAGUCUUGCUGGUGCUUUAUUCAGUGGUUUUCGAAAAAUAUUCUCAAGUGGCUUAUGAUCAGACUGCACUGUCACUACCUUACCAUACACAUACUGAUGAAAGUAUCUGACAGCAAAAACAAUGGCCAGCAACUCCUUUUCAAUUUGUGCAUAAUUUUUCUCAGUAUCUGUAAGUGCCCGUGAACUAUAGUACAAGGGAUGCCCUUCUUGCAUGAGCACAGCUCCUGAGCCAUCCUUUGAUGCAUCAGCUUGAAUUACCAACUGUUUAACAGGAUCAUAGUACUUAAGGAAUGGUGCUUGAGUUAAGGCUACCUUGAGACUUUCUAAAGCCUUAUCAUGCUCAGGGCUCCACUGCCAUUCAGCUUCUUCUCUCAACAAAUACCUUAACGGAGCAGUUAUUGUUGCUUCAUUUUGGAUAUACUGGGAUAAAUAUCUGGUCAUUCCCAGAAAUAUCUGAAGUGCCUUCUUGUUCUCUGGUGGUGGCAUUUUAACAGUUGCUUGAACUUUAUCUCCACCAUGUUUUACCCCUUCCGAGGUGAUGAUAUGUACCAUAUACUUGACAGUGUGAACUUUAUACUGCAACUUGUCCUUACUCAACUUAACAUUAGACUUUUUUGCUCCCUCCAUGACUUGACGUAAAAUCUCAUCAUACACUUGCUCUGAUGAUGCAGCAAUGAUCAUGUCAUCAGUAACGAUAUGCACUCCCUCAAUAUCUCCAUUCUUUUGUUGGAAAACUUCACUGGCUGAUUUAAUACCAAAUGGAAGCCUCAAGAAGCGAUACCUUCCCUGUGGUGUACUGAAAGUGCACAGCAUGGAUGAUGGUUCAUCCAAUUUUACUUGCUAGUACCCAUCCUUUUCAUCUAGGAGAGAAAAGAUCGAUUUACCAGCCAAUUUGCAUCUCACAUCAUCAGGCGUAGGAAUGGAGAAAUAUUGUCUUUUUUUGUAGCCUUGUUCAGUUCUCUUGGGUCCAAUCACACUCGUAAUGCUCCAUUCUUUUCUCUGUGAUCACCAGGCUGUUUACCCAAUCAGAUGGAUCUUGCACUGGAGUUAUAACUUUAGCUCUCACUAGCUCAUGUAAAAUAGAUUUUAAUCUGUCCAAUAUAGCUAGAGGAAUUUUCCUACAUCCCUGUACUACUGGAGUUAUAUUUGGAUCAACAUGUAUGUGGUGAACUCUAGGAAACUCACCAAGCCCUGUAAAGACAGAUGAAUAUUCUUGAAUCAUUCCAUUUCUUGUCAUUGGUCCUUUUACUCCAAUUGCCUCUAUUCUCUUCACCAACUGUAAGGCUUCACAGGCUUCUCGGCCUAAAAUUGGAGUACUGGAUUGACAGGAAAUAAAGAAUUGCAAUAAAGAUUUAGCUUUAGGCGUAACAUUCUACCCCAUACGCUGGACAUUGUCUUAGUUCAUGCAGCUGCCCACAUCUCCAACAUUUGUUUACAGGUUGAAUCUUAUUUUUCUCUUUACUUUUAUAAUUCAUUGUCAUCCCUUUUUUUUUUUCAGAGCAAAUUUUUGACUUUCUGAUCACUUGAAUUGCUGCUUCUGAAUCCACUUGUCCUGUCUGCAUUACCAUGAUCUGAUUUUUUUGCCGCUUCGGCUGCUCUGCAUAUGUCUAAUGCUUUCACUAGUGUCAAACCCGUUUCUCUGAGCAGUCUCUCUUUCAUUCGUGUCUAUUAGACUAAACACCAGUUUGUCUCUUAUCAUAUCAUUUUCACUUUGGCCAAACUCAGUCUUUUGACUUCUGACAUAGCUCUGUGACAAACUUAUCCACUGAUAGUCCGUCUGCCAUCUUAUGCGACCAAAACUGAUGCCGUUCAAACAAUAUUUUUCUGUGGGCUACAGUACUGUUUGAAAGCUUGCAAAAUCUCUUGCAUAGUAUGAUUUCGUUUGUCUUCAUAGUUGAUCGUGAGAGUGUUAUAAACUUCAAGUGCCUCUUUGCCUAUUGUGUGAAGCAAAAUCGCUAUUUUAACAUUCUCAUCUUUUUCUUCAGCCCCAGUUGCCAUCAUAUACAAUAAAAAUUCUCUGCGACAUUGCCUGAGAGCAUUAGAGGCGAUGGUGGCUUAAAUUGUUCCAUUUAGCCGUUUAUCCUUUUCCAAAAAAACACAGACUUACUUCACUGAUGUGCCGUUCACUCGUUUGCAUCAGGGAUUCUUCAUUCGGCACCUGUUUACAUUCUCGUACUGCUGAGCCACGACUUCUGACACCAUGUCAUGUUUGUCGAUAAUGUGGGUUUCUUUCGGUGUUUGCGGGCUACUGGAAUUGCUGCAGACAGACUCACAGCCAUACCAUGCUUCAAUGCUUAUUAUGUGUCUUUAUUCUCAAACCACACCUCUUUUAAGAGGACCAUGUGAUCAAACACACCUAAAACUCAUUACACACAACAUCAAUCAUAUUUGAAUAAUUUCCACUGUGCGCAGUCUUAUGAGUUAACAAUAAUAUCGCCUCAGUGAAUUAGUGAAUAAAGAAAACACUUAGCAUUUUAAUGGCAAAAUAAAAAAAUAACCAUAUCAAAUAUCUAUAUAAAUAAAUCAUAAAUUGUUAAAAUAUACCUGUAUGAUUUUGGAUUGCUAUAUUUUAUUAUGUUAUAUUUAAUUAUCAAGUUUUGACAUGUUAAAAACUAAAACAUUACAGCCAGCAUGAAAUAAAACAUUGCAAGAAUGAAAUGAAGGUAACUGGCAUCUCUCACUCACCCUGCACUCAGUCCUCCUCGCGUUAGAUUAUGGACAAUAUAGCGUCGGCGAGUACAUCGGCAGUACACUCUAAAUCAGAAAGCAUUGUGGGUAAGAAUGAGUGGACAAAUGUAGGGAACGAGAUGUAGGGAAGGAAUUCGUACACUACUACAAAAUGGCCCACACCCAAAAUAGUGCACUAUACAGUGGCUAGGGGGCGAUUUCGGACACAGUGAAAUAUUAUUUAGCAGAGAUGGGCCACUUCUAUUAAAAUGAAUGGGAGAAAUGGGAACGCUCAACCAAAGAGCUCUGAGCGCCCAAAGGUCAACGGAUGUAGAAAGGAGGUCCCGCCUUACAGGUUAAAGAGCCAAUCACUUUUUAGAUACAGACGUCGCCUGUCAAUCAACUCUAGAACGCGCAUGCGCAUUAACUAUACAAGCCGGGAAAAUUGCGUUUUUAGCGUAAUAUGGGGUAAAGAAUCACAAGUUAUGAUUCCAGUAUCGUCAGAUUUUAUAGCUGAUUUGAAAUAUAUUAUUUGAUCGUAAUCUUGAACAACCGUUUUUGAGAUUUCGGUCUUUCUCCAUUCAAGUAGAUAGGAGCUGCACUGGACUGGAAAUAGCCUCAUGAGAGCGUUCCAAAGAUGGCCGACAGUGUACUGACUUACUAGAAGCACUUUGUUAUAAUGCUUACCAAACACAUUUGAUCCCCUGACAACAAAUAUGUUAAUAGAAAAAACCCAUCUUAUAUUUUCAUCCGCGAAUAUUGAGUACCGGCAUUUGCACGUCUUUGAGAGCUGUGGACAAAGUGAAACUAAAACUUGGAGUCGUUUUUAAUCCAAUCACAGCCUGGAUCGCACAGUUGUUAGGCAGACAGCUGUGUUUAAGGUUUAUUGCAAGUAUAAAAACACUGGAAUGAUCCUCAACUUUUUAAUCACAAAUCAGUUUAAUAUGAAUACAAGUUCAAUCUGAAAGCUUAAGACAUUGAGCUGGCAGAACAAGAUAUAAAAUAAAUACUGAUUCCAAAUGCAAAUAAAUAAGCACAAUUAUUUUAGUAGGUUUUAUCAACUUUAUUUCCCCUUUAGAAUGGCAUUAUUUUUCCUAGGGAUUAACUAACAUACAUUCAUAUGAAUUAAAAACUCAUUGACAGCAGUCUGAAUUUGUAAGCGAUUUUAGAUUUAAAAUGAACAACUGUGCUUAAAAUAGACAAAUUAUUGUAGUCUGUCUAAUGAAUAAAUCUGAAAACAAAGCCAAAAUAAGCCAAAAAAUAUAGCUUGUUUCACCAUUUUUACUUGCACAUUAUUACUCCUGCAUAGUCUACAUAACAUUUACACAAAGAGGAAAGAAACCAGUGAAACAACAACCAGAAACCAUAGAAAAACCCAUACAGAAAAAUGUAGCAGCUAUACUUUGGUUAAAUAAACUUCACUCUCAUGGAGAAAAGAAUAAUAUGAUUAAGCCAACUCAAGGAAAAACUAAAAUAAAUGAAUCAGGUUAGUUAUUAUGUAAUUUGUAUGAACUGUGCAUCUUGAGCAACAUCAUUUAUUUGAUGGGAUAGCUGCGGUCUAUGUUGAUUGUGAAAAAUUUCCAAAAACAUGAGAAAUUAUCCUAAGAGGGAAAGAAAAACAUAAUUAAUUGUCUUCAAGGAGCAGUUCACCCAAAACUGAAUUUAAAAAAAAAAAAAAAGAAAAAAGAAAAAGAA